CACGGGAGACUCUGGACAGCUGGGUGGCGGGCACCCAUUUCAACCCGCUCGCACUCCGAAAUGGGCUCUGCUCUGCGGAUUGCAGGAGACCCUGUCUGCUGGGAAACCCAGUUCCAAGCUGCUAUAACUUCUUCCACCCCUUAUCCCUGUUGUGGCCGUGAAUUCUGACCUGGAGGCAGAGCGGGCUCUGAGAGAGGCCUCAGCACCAUCCCCCUCCACAAAGCGUCUGCCUCACCUAUCGGAAUUUCCUUGUCCUUUUUUAUUCAAUUUCACGCCUUGAAAUGUCUCUAACAGGAGAUUCACACAAAUCAACACCCACGAUUUAAAACUCCCACUCUGAGGACCUCCGUUACCUGGAUGGUGGCUUCCGAAUGCACGUCCACGGCACAGACCUCUCCAGACUCCAGACUCUGCUCACUCCCUGUCCACUGGAUAACUCCACUUGGAAACGGAUUCGAGUCUGGAACUCUGAAUGCACCAAGGCAGAAUCUGUUGCCACCACCAUGUAAGAAUGAGGGCUUUACCGUGGAAACAUCAGGAAACACACGUCUAUAAAGUACUUCGGACCAUGAGUUCAUCACGAUAUUUCCAACUCCUAUCUGAGACUGCAAAGGUUGAGGUAA